AGUUGCUACCCAGGGCGCAGCCGCUGCAGGAGGACGCAAUUGCAGACGGCGCUCAGCCGUUUCCCUGUCCUUUUUCAAAGCGGGUCUUUCACAAAUGGGAGAUAAAAGCAGACUGGGGGAAGGGCAAGAGGGGAAUUGAGUUAGAAAUGUCCAAGAGGAAAAGGAUAGGCGUCUUGACUCACUCCCCUGGAAAGCCUCAGCUCCCCCCAGGGCUGGGUAGUCGAGCGAAUGGGAACGCGAUGCAGCGCGUUGGAGAAAAACCUCGGUCAGUCUCUCUUUGCUAUUGCCAUAACCCUGUCCUGGUUGCUAUAGAAAUGGGUUUUUUAAAGAGACCGUUGGAAACAUCAGGGAGUCGUUAGAGGAUUGGUUUGUUCUAAGCUGGGAUUGGCCUGUUGCUCAGGCUUUCCAAAGAAAGGAGGAUCAGAGGUUUGUCUUGGCCCAGGACAUUUCGGUGAAGAAGCGCUGCAAGUAUGUGAGUGGCGCGGAGCAAUGCGGUUAUCUGUUUAGGGAAGGCUUCCUUGAAGAACUGGGAAAGGUUG